AUGUUGACCUCAAAUCAGGUAGGAUUACCCGCUGAACUUAAGCAUAUCAAUAAGCCGGAGGAA
rnacentral:rRNA from 1 species